GCUUGUGAGGGUGGUCUGAUGUGACAUCUGUCACCCCGUGAUCACCAGGGUUGAUUCAGCUCAUCUAGCUGGCCAGGCUAGUGUCCCCUUCCUCCCUCACUGCUCCAUGUGCAUCACCCCCAAAAGUUGUACUUUCCCAAAUAGAGGAGGACCAGUCUUCAUUCAAGGGUACGCAAGUAGCUGUACUGUCCUGCUGGAACCACCAAAGAAGCUCUCAAAUAAAGAAGAGCAAAUGACCAAUAUGUGACAAAUGCUCACUACCUUGA
ensembl:misc_RNA 7SK 7SK RNA